rnacentral:lncRNA from 10 species
GGAGCCAGCAGUGGAAUGUCAGCAAGUCCCUUGCCGUGUUUCUGCUUCUGUUUUCUAAUCUGAAUGCCUUCUCAGAAUCUUGAUUUUCAAAGUGAUGGAUUGGGAGAUCCCAAGCCAUGAAUAAAGGGUGCUCAUCACAGAUGGAACAAUGGCGAGAGCACACCUGGACAGGGGAGGGGCAGGAGUUCUGAUUCCUGACACAGGUUUCCUGGUUGAAUGUUCUGUUGUAGAAGAAUGCAACUGAGUUUUCUAAACAGAUCUUCUUCUUGACAUCCUUGCUGAACGAGAGCAAAGGAGACAGCUGGGAGCAGAUGGGCAAAUCCCAGUUUGCCCAAAGAAAUGUCUAUUUUCCAAGGGGCAUGAAGAAUUUAGGAAUAAAGCAGAUCUGAUUUCUAAUUCUGACUUUGCUACUGGCAAAUUGUGUGGACUCAGGAAAGUGACCGGCCCUCUUUAAGACUCAGUGUGCUUACCUCUGAAAUGGAGCUGUCAAUCACAUCUGCCUCACAGGCUUGUUCUGAGGAUGAAGUGAGAAAAUGCCCACGAGGUGCUGGUUGCAGCAGCUGGUGCAUAGAGCUUAAAAAGGAUGCAGUCCCAAAACAUAGAAGGAUUUACUCCAGAUCCAAGCAAUGAGUCAGGAACAGAAAGCCUGAUGCCCUCACCUGGAACUCUCCCUCCUCCCUGGAUGAGGACCUUCCCCAGAAUUGCAGGGCACCCACACAAGACCAAGCAAGUUCAGAGAAAAUUGAAACCUGACUUUAGAGCCUCUGGGAUGUUCACUACACCUCAUUGAACCUGUUUGGUUCACAGAGCUCCAACUACCGUCUACUUCCUGCAACUGGCCUGCUGCCAACUCCCCAGAUCUCUUGUGGAGCUGCCGGAAGAGACAGCCUGCCACAGAAGAAAGCAGCCCUCCUCUUUCAUGGCCUCCCACAUCUUGAAACAAACACAAGCAAACAAAACAAAAGCUUGAGUCCCAGCCUGAUUCACCAGGUUUGGUUCCCAAUUGUUGAAAUUCCCUUCCCAGGGCUCUCAGAACCAGGGUUGGCUGGAGGGGUGAAAGAGGCUGGCCCUGAGCCCAGUAAUAGGACACCAAGGGGGAGCUAAAAGCUGGGAUCUGGGGUGAAGAUGGGGUCUUCCAAGCUGGGAGGCAGACACCAGGCCAGAGCAACCGGCCUGCCCCAGCUCAGGCCUCUUAACCCAUGCAGGGCAAGAGUAUAAACAGAGGCCACGGACCACAUGCCUCAGUAUUUAAACUUAUAAAUCAAGCUAACAUAACAUGAAAUCAAAUAUGUUCUAUCCUCCUAGCUUGACAAAUACUUUCAUAACGAGAUGGAAUGCCAGGUUCAGAUUUAGAAUUUUCACACUCCUUAAAGUUCCAAGUCAAAAUACAGCAUUAGGGGAGGGCCCCCAACCUCGAGGUCUCCCCUCCCCCAUUUUCUUUCACUCCCAGCUCUGUCUCACACCACGAGGGAUCUUGGGUGAAUGCCCCUCGAUACCCCAGCCCCCCACAAACAGCUGCCCUUUCCCCCCUUGGCCAAGGGUAAGCACAGCAGCAGGGCAGUCUGCCCUUGGCUGGAGAGAUGGAAGGAGAGGCCACACGGGCCCUGAAAAUGCAUUUGGGGACUCUUGGGCAGGAAACUUGGGAGUUUCUGGAGCCUCAAGGAGGGUCUAGUGGGACAGAGCCACUUGGGCCCAUGAGAUCCUUGACCCAUGGAGAAGGGUAGGGCUAGAGGAGGGCCAGGGCAGGCCCUAUGAACAGAAGAACCUAGAGUAACUGCCCUGUCCCCAGAUCCUGUCACCGAGCAGGUAUACUUGGGAGGGUAUUGGAGGGUGGAACCCAAGGGAGCUUGCCCAAGGCACUAGGAAAGAAAAGUGUAAACCUUGUUAGAGAAUGCUAAGGAUAGCUGUUAAAGCCUCAGAGAUUUUACUCAUUUUUGGCUGUUUCUAAAAAUCUUCCCCCAAAGGAAGAUCUUGCUCUCAUUGAGGAUCUGAGAAAGAAUUCUCUCCAAGUAGUUUCAAAACAUUCUGAUGUAAAAACUCUGGUGUGUUAGUCAAAAAUAAAUUUUGUUGCUUGAUGGCUUCACCAUUCACAAAAUAUUCUAUCCAUCCAAUUUAAAAAUAAGAGCAGGGUAUUUAAAACUCUUUCAAUAAACACAAAUUAAAACAAUGAAGCUUG